UACGUAGGGUGCGAGCGUUGUCCGGAAUUAUUGGGCGUAAAGGGCUCGUAGGCGGUCUGUCGCGUCGGGAGUGAAAACUCAGGGCUUAACCCUGAGCCUGCUUCCGAUACGGGCAGACUAGAGGUAUGCAGGGGAGAACGGAAUUCCUGGUGUAGCGGUGGAAUGCGCAGAUAUCAGGAGGAACACCAAUUGCGAAGGCAGCUCGCUGGGACGUAACUGACGCUGAGACGCGAAAGCGUGGGGAGCAAACAGG
rnacentral:rRNA from 1 species